rnacentral:rRNA from 1 species
GACGAACGCUGGCGGCGUGCUUAACACAUGCAAGUCGAACGGAAAGGCCCUGCUUUUGUGGGGUGCUCGAGUGGCGAACGGGUGAGUAACACGUGAGUAACCUGCCCUUGACUUUGGGAUAACUUCAGGAAACUGGGGCUAAUACCGGAUAGAAGCUCCUGCUGCAUGGUGGUGGUUGGAAAGUUUCGGCGGUUGGGGAUGGACUCGCGGCUUAUCAGCUUGUUGGGGGGGUAGUGGCUUACCAAGGCUUUGACGGGUAGCCGGCCUGAGAGGGUGACCGGCCACCUUGGGACUGAGAUACGGACCAGACUCCUACGGGCGGCAGCAGGGGGGAAUAUUGCACAAUGGGCGGAAGCCUGAUGCAGCAACGCCGCGUGCGGGAUGACGGCCUUCGGGUUGUAAACCGCUUUCGCCUGUGACGAAGCGUGAGUGACGGUAAUGGGUAAAGAAGCACCGGCUAACUACGUG